ensembl:lncRNA
AGGAUUCACAGAUGAAGUAGCAAUGUCCUCUUCUGCUUGGGAAUCUGCUUAAUGUGAUGAGACUACUCUGAAAAUGUUUACCACAGCUUAUCAGAGUAUACAACACAGAAGCAGGCACAGCUGACACUGCAACUUUUCCCCAUGAGCUUGCACUUAGUGUCAUAGUACAGGACAGACUAAGUUAAAUUACCAAGAAUUGAUGUGGGUUGACUGUAUUCAAACUGAAUCCUUUGCUAUCUCUCCUGAUUCCUAAGAGUGAUUCUUUCUGAAGGAGCAUUGUGCCUGUCACUACAUCACAUGUGGAGUCAUGGAAUCCCUAUCCUUCAUUUCAAUAACGGUGCUGGGCUGGGAUAGACUUAACAUCUUGGACACAGUCACUUUGCACUGCUGAGAAGAGUCUGGCUCUCUCUUCCACCUUACCUUCUAUCAGAUCUCUCUGGAUGGCAGUGCCAUGUAUCAAGAAUUCUUCACAGUUCUGUAUCUUCUAUGAAUGUGCUGAGGGUAUCAGCCAGCUCUCUCAGAACUUCUGUGUACCACCAUGGAUUUCUAUUGACAGGUUCACCUGGAAGACAUGAUUUUCAAAGGAGCUUCAGAUGAUUUCAAAUACAACUCUUAGAAAUAUAAACUCUUGAAAUAUGUAAUUAAUGUGCCAUAUGGAAGGUAAGGAAAGGGGAGAAAAUUCUAUGAUUCUAUGAUUCUGUGAUAGUGAACAUUUUUUCUGUUUGCACAUUUUUCUGUUGUACUUUGCACAGUGUUAAAAAAAUUAAAGGAUCUUUAAAAUGGUAGCUUCUGAAUACAAAUAUUUUGUUGGGUUUUGCAAUAAAUGGUUUGGCUGCUGACUGUUGGAAGAUCAUAGAAUCAUAGAAUCGUAGAAUCAUAGAAUCACCAAGAUUGGAAAAGACCCACAGGAUCACCCAGUCCAACCAUCCACCCAUCACCAAUAGUUCUUGCUAAACCAUGUCCCUCAACACAACAUACAAACGUUCCUUGAACACCUUCAGGGUUGGUGACUCCACCACCUCCCUGUGCAGCCCAUUCCAGUGCCUGACAACUCUUUUAGUGAAAUAGUAUUUCCUAAUAUCCAGCCUGAACCUCCCAUGGCUCAGCUUGAAGCCAUUUCCUCUAGUCCGAUCACUAGAUACACGAGGUGUUGUGCUGUCACUCAAAUGGAUCUGCCAAUAGAGAUGGCCUCAUUCAUGAGCUGGAGCAAUGCUGUAGUGGUUUAUCUGGCUCAUUUUGGCUUCUCCACUUCAUGAUUUUUUUAUUAUUACUAUUUCUACUUAUAUUUGGCCAUGAGUUUAUAUUUAAGUCUAAUGGACUUCCAUUCAGAUCCCUACAUGUGAAUGUGAAUUGAUCUGAUAGCAUUAUAUUAUUGCCUAUGGAAUAAAAAAGAACUAAACAUGGAGACAAAUUCAAGUAUUGUGAACAUAAACACAGAUUUUGUGAGCUACAGACUAGAUGAACAAAUCAUGGUUGAGUAUUAUAAUUUAAAACCAGGCACAAAAAAAAAAAAAAAAGUGCAUAGAAAAAUCGUACAUAAAAUUAAGGACAUUUUACCUUCAUACAUGCCAAGAAACUAAUUAAAAAGAAAAUUGGAGGCCAACAGUGGAAUCAUGAAGAAGACAAAAUUAAUAUGGAAAAAAAAAAAAAAAAGAUUAUUGUUGAACAUUCUACAUCAGAGGCCAAGACCUGGGCUGAAUAUUGGUUCUAGCAAAAGAGAUAUCUAUUUUCCGCUUCAUAACUCAGUAACUGCUGUUUAAUAAAACUCCUGUAUAGAAUGCGAUUAAGUGAAACAAGUCAGGUUUUAUAGAAAUUAAAUGAGAUCACAUAU